GGUAGCGCGUCUGACUCCAGAUCAGAAGGUUGGGCGUUCGACUCGCUCUGGGCUCA
rfam:Eimeria mitis, Houghton, WGS project CBTT01000000 data, contig: Emh_contig4903_3